CCUACGGGAGGCAGCAGUGGGGAAUUUUGGACAAUGGGCGCAAGCCUGAUCCAGCAAUGCCGCGUGAGUGAAGAAGGCCUUCGGGUUGUAAAGCUCUUUUGUCAGGGAAGAAACGGUCUACUCUAAUACAGUGGGCUAAUGACGGUACCUGAAGAAUAAGCACCGGCUAACUACGUGCCAGCAGCCGCGGUAAUACGUAGGGUGCAAGCGUUAAUCGGAAUUACUGGGCGUAAAGCGUGCGCAGGCGGUUAUAUAAGUCAGAUGUGAAAUCCCCGGGCUCAACCUGGGAACUGCAUUUGAGACUGUAUGGCUAGAGUGUGUCAGAGGGGGGUAGAAUUCCACGUGUAGCAGUGAAAUGCGUAGAUAUGUGGAGGAAUACCGAUGGCGAAGGCAGCCCCCUGGGAUAACACUGACGCUCAUGCACGAAAGCGUGGGGAGCAAACAGGAUUAGAUACCCUGGUAGUCCACGCCCUAAACGAUGUCUACUAGUUGUCGGGACUUAAUUGUCUUGGUAACGCAGCUAACGCGUGAAGUAGACCGCCUGGGGAAGUACGGUCGCAAGAUUAAAACUUCAAAUUGAAUUGACCGG
rnacentral:rRNA from 1 species